rnacentral:rRNA from 1 species
GAUGAACGCUAGCGGAAGGCAUAAUACAUGCAAGUCGAACGGAUGUAGCAAUCCAUUAGUGGCGCACGGGUGCGUAACGCGUAUGCCACCUACCUUCAUCAGGGGGAUAACUACCCGAAAGGGUGGCUAACACCGCAUAAUACUAUUGAGUGGCAUCACUUGAUAUUUAAAUCUGAGGAGGAUGAAGAUGGGCAUGCGUCUGAUUAGCUAGUUGGUGUGGUAACGGCGCACCAAGGCGACGAGCAGUAGGGGAACUGAGAGGUUGGUCCCCCGCGCGGGCACGGAGAAACGGGCCAGAGUCCGACGGGAGGCAGCAUGAGGGCAUAUUGGUCAAUGGUGGGAACACUGAACCAGCCAUGCCGCGUGCAGGAAGAAGGGUCUCUGACUUGUAAACUGCUUUAGCAAGGGAAGAAAAAGCUCAUGCGUGAGAAAUUGACGGUACCUUGAGAAUAAGCACCGGCUAACUACGUGCCAGCCGCCGCAGUAAAAC